GACGAACGCUGGCGGCGUGCCUAAUACAUGCAAGUAGAACGCACAGUUUAUACCGUAGCUUGCUACACCAUAGACUGUGAGUUGCGAACGGGUGAGUAACGCGUAGGUAACCUGCCUGGUAGCGGGGGAUAACUAUUGGAAACGAUAGCUAAUACCGCAUAAUAUUAAUUAUUGCAUGAUAAUUAAUUGAAAGGUGCAAUUGCACCACUACCAGAUGGACCUGCGUUGUAUUAGCUAGUAGGUGAGGUAACGGCUCACCUAGGCGACGAUACAUAGCCGACCUGAGAGGGUGAUCGGCCACACUGGGACUGAGACACGGCCCAGACGCCUACGGGAGGCAGCAGUAGGGAAUCUUCGGCAAGGGACGAAAGUCUGACCGAGCAACGCCGCGUGAGUGAAGAAGGUUUUCGGAUCGUAAAGCUCUGUUGUAAGAGAAGAACGGGUGUGAGAGUGGAAAGUUCACACUGUGACGGUAUCUUACCAGAAAGGGACGGCUAACUACGUG
rnacentral:rRNA from 1 species